rnacentral:rRNA from 1 species
UACGAAGGGGGCUAGCGUUGCUCGGAAUCACUGGGCGUAAAGCGCACGUAGGCGGCUUGUUAAGUCAGGGGUGAAAUCCUGGAGCUCAACUCCAGAACUGCCUUUGAUACUGGCGAGCUUGAGUUCGGGAGAGGUGAGUGGAACUGCGAGUGUAGAGGUGAAAUUCGUAGAUAUUCGGAAGAACACCAGUGGCGAAGGCGACUGACUGGACAAGUAUUGACGCUGAGGUACGAAAGCGUGGGGAGCAAACAGG